UCAGUAGCGACUCACAACCAACUGUGAACUGUGAACGUCACUACCAUCUACAGCUGACGAAACGCUCAAUCUAUGGGGCCGUGGAUCCGCCCGACAGUAAGCGACCACGAAAAGAUUAUGCCAACGCUAAUAGCUCUGUUCAUCGCAGCUGUUGUUUCAUGUGUCGAGUGUAGCAGCCUGACAGGCAAACAGUUCUACAUAUAUACGGGCAAAAAGACAUGGAACGAAGCAAGGACAAUAUGCGAGGACAGUGGAACACGCCUGGCUAAGAUAGACAACCAGCAGACUU